CCGCUGGGUAUCUGAGUCUGGAAUGGAUAAGCGCUGAAAGCAUCUAAGUGCGAAGCCAGCCGCAAGAUGAGAACUCCUCAUAAGGGUCGUCAUAGACGAUGACGUUGAUAGGGUGUAGGUGUAAAGACGGUGACGUCAAAGCCGAGCACUACUAAUUGCCCGAAACUUUCUUC
rnacentral:rRNA from 1 species